CUUUAACCGUACAUUAUACAGAUACGCGCUCUUUGACUUUUUCGUAGAUCUAAUUGAGAUACACAUGAUUGUCAAUUUUUGUGUCAAUAUGACAAAGCGUUCAGGUGUGACACUCAACAAUGUGUAUUUUCAUGUAAGGGGACAAGAAAAAAUUGGUUUUUUUCUCCUGCCAUGGGGGGGCGCUCUUUUGGGGAGUAAAAAUUCCUUCACAAAUGUGUUGAUGGCUGGACAUUGCAUCAUCCUAGAAAACUUGGAGGGCAGUGAGGACAAAAAUAAAAAGUUAUAAGACUUUUAAGAAUUUGGAUUUUUGGGUUAUCUUUGGCGCCCCCUAGAACCUAAACCGUGGGGUGCAGCGUCAUGAUUUGUACAACUUUUAAUGGCCAUGGGGUGUAGACUGGCCUGAGCAAAUGUGGUGCCGGUGGAACGAAAGCCUUCGGAGGAGUUAGCGAAAUUCCAAUGUGUGCGGAUCGGCAAAAAAUGCGAAAUAACCCUUUAACCGUACAUUUGACAGAUACGCCCGCACUGACUUUUUUGUAGAUCUUAUUGAGAUACAUAUGUGUGUCAAUUUUUGUGUCAAUAUGACAAAACGUAAAGACGUGACAGUCAAUAGUGUGAAUUUCCACCUUAGGGGGCGCUAUGGAGCCAUUUUGCAUUUUUAUUGUUUGGGCGACUUCAGAAUAUCGAAUUUUUCACCAGGCCCGGUCGUCCUGCCAAAUUUCAUGAGUUUUCGCCAGUGGGAAGUGGGCCAUUUUCCAGUUUAAAGCGGAGGAAAAAUAAUAACUAGGGCCCCGGUGGGGCACUGGCGGGCCCGAGCCGUGUCGCGCCGCCCCCAGCGCGACCGCCUCCCCCUCCCGAUCGCGUCACACUCAAGGUCCAAGGACCACUCAGUGGCCAAAACGACUUUUAAUCAUGUGGAUUUUCGGGUUAUCUUUGGCGCCUCCUAGAACGUAAACCGUGGGGUGCAGCAUCAUGAUUUUUACAACUUUGAAUGGCCAUGGGGUGUAGAUUGGCCUGACCAAAUUUGGUGUUGGUGGGACGAAAGCCUUAGGAGGAGUUAGCCACAUUCCAAUGUAUGCGAAUCGGCAAAAAAUGCGAAAUAGCCCUUUAACCGUAAAUUUUACAGAUACUUGCACAUUUAGUUUUUCGUAGAUCUUAUUGAGAUACAUGUGUGUGUCAAACCUUGUGUCCAAAUGACAAAGCGUAAGGGCGUGACACCCAAUAAUGUAUAUUUUCACCUUAGGAGACAAGAAAAAAUUGACUUUUUUCUCUUGCCAUAGGGGGGCGCUCUUUUAGGGAGUAAAAAUUCCUUCACAAAUGUGUUGAUGGCUGGACAUUGCAUCAUCCUAGAAAACUUGGAGGCCAGUGAGGACAAAAAUAAAAAGUUAUAAGACUUUUAAGAAUGUGGAUUUUUGGGUUAUCUUUGGCGCCCCCUAGAACCUAAACCGUGGGGUGCAGCCUCAUGAUUUGUACAACUUUUAAUGGCCAUGGGGUGUAGAUUGGCCUGUGCAAAUUUGGUGCCGGUAGAACAAAAGCCUUCGGAGGAGUUAGCGAAAUUCCAAUGUGUGCGGAUCGGCAAAAAAUGCGAAAUAGCCCUUUAACCGUACAUUAUACAGAUACGCGCUCUUUGACUUUUUCGUAGAUCUUAUUGAGAUACACGUGUGUGUCAAAUUUUGUGUCAAUAUGACAAAGCAUUCAGGCGUGACACUCAAUGUGUAUUUUCAUGUUAGGGGACAAGAAAAAAUGGACUUUUUUCUCCUGCCAUGGGGGGGCGCUCUUUUGGGGAGUAAAAAUUUCUUCACAAAUGUGUUGAUGGCUGGACAUUGCAUCAUCCUAGAAAACUUGGAGGCCAGUGAGGACAAAAAUAAAAAGUUAUAAGACUUUUAAGAAUGUGGAUUUUUGGGUUAUCUUUGGCGCCCCCUAGAACCUAAACCGUGGGGUGCAGCCUCAUGAUUUGUACAACUUUUAAUGGCCAUGGGGUGUAGAUUGGCCUGAGCAAAUGUGGUGCCGGUGGAACGAUAGCCUUCGGAGGAGUUAGCGAAAUUCCAAUGUGUGCGGAUCGGCAAAAAAUGCGAAAUAACCCUUUAACGGUACAUUUGACAGAUACGCCCGCACUGACUUUUUUGUAGAUCUUAUUGAGAUACAUAUGUGUGUCAAAUUUUGUGUCAUUUUGACAAAGCGUACAGGCGUCAGGUGAGUUUUCACCAUAGGGGGCGCUAUGGAGCCAUUUUUCAUUUUUUUGUUUGGGUGACUUCAGAAUAUCGAAUUUUUCACCAGGCCCGGUCGUCCUGCCAAAUUUCCUGAGUUUUCGCCAGUGGGAAGUGGGCCAUUUUCCAGUUUAAAGCGGAGGAAAAAUAACGAAAGAAGAAUCCAUCAGGAACAAGAGGGCUCUCGCAGCUGCUUAGCAGCUACGCUCGGGCCCUAAUAAUAAUAACACUAGGACCCCGUUGGGGCACUGGCGGGCCCGAGCCGUGUCGCCCCCCCCCCCCCAACGUGCUGCCUCCCCGUCCCAUUUGUGUCCUCUGGCCAUCGCCCUCUCUGGUAACGCCCAUCACUGCAAAGUCCCUUUUCCUUCAUCGGCGUUUGCUGUUCUUCCUGCCAGUGCGUGUUGCUUUCACUUACACUUGCCACAGCCAGCCUCGUGAGUGCCUAGCCUAUUCGAUAUCACUGUCACCUACACAGGACAGUCAUUACCUUUCUAUUAAUACUUUGUGUUUUAAUUUCACAUUAAUUUCCAUAUUGUAUAAACGACUGGAAAAAACUUGAGCCCCUGCCCCUGUAUAAUCAUGUGCAUGUCUCUGUUCUAGCUCCAAGGUGAAUCUUCACUGCUCAUGUUCUCCUCAGAAGCACUCACCUCACUCCCCUCAGGUUACUGUACACAUGCACCAACUGCCUGCUUCAGGUUUGGAUGGAGCUUCAUGGUUGUCUUUUGGAGAAAUGACCAGUCAAGUUGUGUUUGAAAUUUGAUUUUUUUCAGGGGCAAAAGGAGCCUCUGCAUUCUUGUCAAAUAUGUAAAUAGCAUGUUUUUGCAGGUGCUAAAAACCAGACUCUGAGUGUGUGUGUGUGUGUGUGUGUGUGUGUGUGCGUGUGUGUGUGUCUGUGUGUGCGUUCAAGUCACAUGACAUAUUUAACCGGAUGUAGCUGCAAGACGGAGCCUCGUUGACUCUCCGUUUCAACUUAUCUCAAAAGUGAGGACCUCAACCUAUAUACCAGUUUUUAAAUUUUGUUGAUAGGCCAAAUAAAACCAGAGUUAUGAUAAAUUAUGUCCGCGAUACUUUUUUUCUGCUUAUUUUGAUCACGUUCGGCGCUCGAUCGCGCUGUAUGAGACAGGAAAACAUAGCAUGCAGACAUUAGCGACAGGUCUUACAGGCGGAAAAGGCUUGCCAAAAGAAAACAAAAACACACCACAACAUCUCUCCUAUUGGUGUAAAACUUCACCACAACAACCAAUCCAAAAUUAUAUGGUGACUGAUUGACAAGGGGCGGGCGCUUACGUUCUUCCUGCAACAUGAGAAGGGAGGGAGGGACUCUCAGCAGGGAUGCAGUCUGGGACACGUAGUUGCAAACCUAGCGACUUUGUUGUUAGAUUCAAUGACUUUUCAGACCCCCUAACGACUUUUUUUUAGAAAGAAAGGGACUUUUAUCGACUUCUUCUGGAGUUUAGAGACUCUGACAUGAAGCAGGCUUUCCUUACUGAGGAGUUAGCAACGCUGCUAAGGGUGCAGAGCCACACAUGCGCUCAGAGCUCUGCAUGGGAGACUGAAGCUGACAGAGCUGCAGCAGUUAGCAGGUUUCACCCUCAGAGACCACCAGGGGUUCAUGUUGAGGCAUUUUAAUUUUUUUUUUUUUUGUGCCAUAGACACUGUCAGCACAAUCUGCAGUUACACUAACAAAAAUGCUGCAAAAAACAAAGAAUUAUGGAAAAAUUACACAUGGACUGACAUAGAGGAGGAUCUACACAAGUUUUUUACAUCAUGUUUUACAUCAUGCAUCAUUUACAUCAUGUUUUUUUGUGGUGGCAUAAAUAAAAAGUGACAUUUGUGAGACUAUACAGUGUUUUGUAAAUAAUUUUACAAAGAACGCCUGGGCCAUUGCCUGCAUUUUGAUGUAAAUAGAGGUAAAUCACUAUGUUCUUUGUUAAAAAUUUGCAUAUGUUUUGAAGUUUACAAUUUUUAUUUGAAGUUUAAGUUUUAAAAACAGUUCAUCACACAUAUUUGUGGUUUUCACAGUAAAAAUGUUACUUUUUUCCACUCUGAUUUUAUGUUUUGUGUGUGAAUUUGGGUCCAUUGUGUAAAUUCAGUAUGUCAACAUGAUAAAAUAACUGUAAAUUCGCACAGGUGAGGUUGUGCUGAAAAAAAUGAUACCAGGCAAGGCACGUGAUUUUCAAAUUUUGUGUCAAUAUGACAAAGCGUAUAGGCGUGAAUCUCAACAAUAUGUAUUUUCACCUUAGGGGACAAGAAAAAAUGGACUUUUUUCUCCUGCCAUGGGGGGGCGCUCUUUUGGGGAGUAAAAAUUCCUUCAUAAAUGUGUUGAUGGCUGGACAUUGCAUCAUCCUAGAAAACUUGGAGGCCAGUGAGGACAAAAAUAAAAAGUUAUAAGACUUUUAAAUAUGUGGAUUUUAGGGUUAUCUUUGGCGCCCCCUAGAACCUAAACCGUGGGGUGCAGCGUCAUGAUUUGAAUAACUUUUAAUGGCCAUGGGGUGUAGAUUGGCCUGAGCAAAUGUGGUGCCAGUGGAACGAAAGCCUUAGGAGGAGUUAGCGAAAUUCCAAUGUGUGCGAAUCGGCAAAAAAUGCAAAAUAGCCCUUUUACCGUACAUUAUACAGAUACGCGCUCUUGACUUUUUCGUAGAUCUAAUUGAGAUACACAUGAUUGUCAAUUUUUGUGUCAUUUUGCCAAAGCGUACAGGCGUGACAGUCAACAAUGUGUAUUUUCACCUUAGGGGACAAGAAAAAAUGGACUUUUUUCUCCUGCCAUGGGGGGGCGCUCUUUUAGGGAGUAAAAAUUCCUUCACAAAUGUGUUGAUGGCUGGACAUUGCAUCAUCCUAGAAAACUUGGAGGCCAGUGAGGACAAAAAUAAAAAGUUAUAAGACUUUUAAAAAUGUGGAUUUUUGGGUUAUCUUUGGCGCCCCCUAGAACGUAAACCGUGGGGUGCAGCGUCAUGAUUUGAAUAACUUUUAAUGGCCACGGGGUGUAGAUUGGCCUGAGCAAAUGUGGUGCUGGUGGAACGAAAGCCUUCGGAGGAGUUAGCGAAAUUCCAAUGUGUGCGGAUUAGCAAAAAAUGCGGAAUAACCCUUUAACCGUACAUUUGACAGAUACGCGCGCAUUGACUUUUUUGUAGAUCUAAUUGAGAUACAUGUGUGUGUCAAUUUUUGUGUCAUUUUGACAAAGCGUACAGGCGUGACACUCAACAAUGUGUAUUUUCACCUUAGGGGACAAGAAAAAAUGGACUUUUUUCUCCUGCCAUGGGGGGGCGCUCUUUUGGGGAGUAAAAAUUCCUUCACAAAUGUGUUGAUGGCUGGACAUUGCAUCAUCCUAGAAAACUUGGAGGCCAGUGAGGACAAAAAUAAAAAGUUAUAAGACUUUUAAAAAUGUAGAUUUUUGGGUUAUCUUUGGCGCCCCCUAGAACGUAAACCGUGGGGUGCAGCAUCAUGAUUUGAAUAACUUUUAAUGGCCAUGGGGUGUAGAUUGGCCUGAGCAAAUGUGGUGCUGGUGGAACGAAAGCCUUCGGAGGAGUUAGCGAAAUUCCAAUGUGUGCGGAUUAGCAAAAAAUGCGGAAUAACCCUUUAACCGUACAUUUGACAGAUACGCGCGCAUUGACUUUUUUGUAGAUCUUAUUGAGAUACAUGUGUGUGUCAAUUUUUGUGUCAUUUUGACAAAGCGUACAGGCGUGACACUCAACAAUGUGUAUUUUCACCUUAGGGGACAAGAAAAAAUGGACUUUUUUCUCCUGCCAUGGGGGGGGGCGCUCUUUUGGGGAGUAAAAAUUCCUUCACAAAUGUGUUGAUGGCUGGACAUUGCAUCAUCCUAGAAAACUUGGAGGCCAGUGAGGGCAAAAAUAAAAAGUUAUAAGACUUUUAAAUAUGUGGAUUUUAGGGUUAUCUUUGGCGCCCCCUAGAACCUAAACCGUGGGGUGCAGCGUCAUGAUUUGAAUAACUUUUAAUGGCCAUGGGGUGUAGAUUGGCCUGAGCAAAUGUGGUGCCGGUGGAACAAAAGCCUUUGGAGGAGUUAGCGAAAUUCCAAUGUGUGCGGAUCGGCAAAAAAUGCGAAAUAGCCCUUUAACCGUACAUUUGACAGAUACGCCCGCACUGACUUUUUUGUAGAUCUUAUUGAGAUACAUGUGUGUGUCAAUUUUUGUGUCAUUUUGACAAAGCGUACAGGCGUGACAGUCAAUAGUGUGAAUUUUCACCUUAGGGGGCGCUAUGGAGCCAUUUUGCAUUUUCUUGUUUGGGCGACUUCGGAAUAUCAAAUUUUUCACCAGGCCCGGUCGUCCUGCCAAAUUUCAUGAGUUUUCGCCAGUGGGAAGUGGGCCAUUUUCCAGUUCAAAGGGGAGGAAAAAGAAACUAGGGCCCCGGUGGGGCACUGGCGGGCCCGAGCCGUGUCACGCCGCCCCCAGCGCGACCGCCUCCCCCACCCGAUCGCGUCACACUCAAGGUCCAAAGAUGGUGUGCGCACUUGUUUGUGGUCAUUUACCAUUAUAAUGAACGGGAGGCGCAGUUUCUACCAAAACGCUCGCUGCAGAAAAACUCCAUGUCCUAUUUGAAAAAAGUCUGGACCAUGAGUGAGGGCACAAACACAGCUAAGAUAUAUCCAAAUGGCAAGUUGCUCCUCCUUUCGCUUUUGCCGAGAGAGCAGUGCGUUUGAGCCAUUGAAUGAUGAACAGGAAAAACUUGACUUUAUUCUCCUGCCAUGGGGGGGCGCUCUUUUAAAGAGAAAAAACUCCUUCACAAAUGUGUUGAUGGCUGGACAUUGCAUCAUCCUAGAAAACAUGGAGGCCAGUGAGGACAAAAAUAAAAAGUUAUAAGACUUUUAAAUAUGUGGAUUUUAGGGUUAUAUUUGGCGCCCCCUAGAACCUAAACCGUGGGGUGCAGCGUCAUGAUUUGAAUAACUUUUAAUGGCCAUGGGGUGUAGAUUGGCCUGAGCAAAUGUGGUGCCGGUGGAACGAAAGCCUUCGGAGGAAUUAGCGAAAUUCCAAUGUGUGCGAAUCUGCAAAAAAUGCGAAAUAACCCUUUAACCGUACAUUUUACAGAUACGUGGCCAUUGACUUUUUCGAAGAUCUUAUGUAAAUACACAUGUAUGUAAAAUUUUGUGUCAAUACGACAAAACAUACAGGCGUAGCACUCAACAAUGUGUAUUUCCACCUUAGUGGACAAGAAAAAAUUGACUUUUUUCUCCUGCCAUGGGGGGGCGCUCUUUUGCCGAGUAAAAAUUCCUUCACAAAUGUGUUGAUGGCUGGACAUUGCAUCAUCCUAGAAAACUUGGAGGCCAGUGGGGACAAAAAUAAAAAGUUAUAAGACUUUUAAAUAUGUGGAUUUUACGGUUAUCUUUGGCUCCCCCUAGAACCUAAACCGUGGGGUGCAGCGUCAUGAUUUUAAUAACUUUUAAUGGCCAUGGGGUGUAGAUUGGCCUGAGCAAAUGUGGUGCCGGUGGAACGAAAGCCUUCGGAGGAGUUAGCGAAAUUCCAAUGUGUGCGGAUCGGCAAAAAAUGCGGAAUAACCCUUUAACCGUACAUUUGACAGAUACGCGCGCAUUGACUUUUUCGUAGAUCUUAUUGAGAUACAUGUGUGUGUCAAUUUUUGUGUCAUUUUGCCAAAGCGUACAGGUGUUAAACUCAACAAUGUGUAUUUUCACCUUAGGGGACAAGAAAAAAUGGACUUUUUUCUCCUGCCAUGGGGGGGCGCUCUUUUGGGGAGUAAAAAUUCCUUCACAAAUGUGUUGAUGGCUGGACAUUGCAUCAUCCUAGAAAACUUGGAGGCCAGUGAGGGCAAAAAUAAAAAGUUAUAAGACUUUUAAAUAUGUGGAUCUUAGGGUUAUCUUUGGCGCCCCCUAGAACCUAAACCGUGGGGUGCAGCGUCAUGAUUUGAAUAACUUUUAAUGGCCAUGGGGUGUAGAUUGGCCUGAGCAAAUGUGGUGCCGGUGGAACGAAAGCCUUCGGAGGAGUUAGCGAAAUUCCAAUGUGUGCGGAUCGGCAAAAAAUGCGAAAUAACCCUUUAACCGUACAUUUGACAGAUACGCCCGCACUGACUUUUUUGUAGAUCUUAUUGAGAUACAUGUGUGUGUCAAUUUUUGUGUCAUUUUGACAAAGCGUACCGGCGUGACAGUGAAUAGUGUGAAUUUUCACCUUAGGGGGCGCUAUGGAGCCAUUUUGCAUUUUCUUGUUUGGGCGACUUCGGAAUAUCAAAUUUUUCACCAGGCCCGGUCGUCCUGCCAAAUCUCAUGAGUUUUCGCCAGUGGGAAGUGGGCCAUUUUCCAGUUCAAAGGGGAGGAAAAAUAACUAGGGCCCCGGUGGGGCACUGUCGGGCCCGAGCCGCGUCGCGCCGCCCCCAGCGCGACCACCUCCCCCUCCCGAUCGCGUCACACUCAAGGUCCAAAGAUGGUGUGCGCACUUGUCUGUGGUCAUUUCCCAUUAUAAUGAAUGGGAGGCGCAGUUUCUACCAAAACACUCGCUGCAGACAAACUACAUAUCCUAUUUGAAAAAAGUCUGGACCAUGAGUGAGGGCACAAACACAGCUAGGAUAUAUCCAAACGGCAAGUUGCUCCUCGUUACGGUGUUGCCGGGAGAGCGAUGCGAUUGAGCCAUUGAGUGAUGGGCAGGAAAAACUUGACUGUUUCUCCUGCCAUGGGGGAUGGGGGAUGGGGGAUGGGGGGGGGGGGGGGAUUUGGAUUCUUUUAAGAAUGUGGAUAUUUGGGUCAUCUUUGGCGCCCCCUAGAACGUAAACCGUGGGGUGCACCGUCAUGAUUUUUACAACUUUGAAUGGCCAUGGGGUGUAGAUUGGCCUGAGCAAAUUUGGUGUCAGUGGGAUGAAAGCCUUAGGAGGAGUUAGCCACAUUCCAAUGUGUGCGAAUCGGCAAAAAAUGCAAAAUAGCCCUUUAACCGUACAUUUGACAGAUACGCGUGCAUUGACUUUUUCGUAGAUGUUAUUGAGACACACGUGAUUGUCAAAUUUUGUGUCAAUAUGACAAAGCGUAUAGGCGUGAAUCUCAACAAUAUGUAUUUUCACCUUAGGGGACAAGAAAAAAUGGACUUUUUUCUCCUGCCAUGGGGGGGCGCUCUUUUGGGGAGUAAAAAUUCCUUCACAAAUGUAUUGAUGGCUGGACAUUGCAUCAUCCUAGAAAACUUGGAGGCCAGUGAGGACAAAAAUAAAAAGUUAUAAGACUUUUAAAUAUGUGGAUUUUAGGGUUAUCUUUAGCGCCCCCUAGAACCUAAACCGUGGGGUGCAGCGUCAUGAUUUGAAUAACUUUUAAUGGCCAUGGGGUGUAGAUUGGCCUGAGCAAAUGUGGUGCCGGUGGAACGAAAGCCUUAGGAGGAGUUAGCCACAUUCCAAUGUGUGCGGAUCGGCAAAAAAUGCGGAAUAACCCUUUAACCGUACAUUUGACAGAUACGCGCGCAUUGACUUUUUCGUAGAUCUUAUUGAGUUACAUGUGUGUGUCAAUUUUUGUGUCAUUUUGACAAAGCGUAUAGGCGUGACACUCAACAAUGUGUAUUUUCACCUUAGGGGACAAGAAAAAAUUGACUUUUUUCUUCUCCCAUGGGGGGGCGCUCUUUUGGGGAGUAAAAAUUCCUUCACAAAUGUGUUGAUGGCUGGACAUUGCAUCAUCCUAGAAAACUUGGAGGCCAGUGAGGACAAAAAUAAAAAGUUAUAAGACUUUUAAAUAUGUGGAUUUUAGUGUUAUCUUUGGCGCCCCCUAGAACCUAAACCUUGGGGUGCAGCGUCAUGAUUUUGAUAACUUUUAAUGGCCACGGGGUGUAGAUUGGCCUGAGCAAAUGUGGUGCCGGUGGAACGAAAGCCUGCAUGUUUUUGCAGGUGCUAAAAACCAGACUCUGAGUGUGUGUGUGUGUGUGUGUAUGUGUGUGUGCGUGUGUGUGUCUGUGUGUGCGUUCAAGUCACAUGACAUAUUUAACCGGAUGUAGCUGCAAGACGGAGCCUCGUUGACUCUCCGUUUCAACUUAUCUCAACCUAUAUACCAGUUUUUAAAUUGUGUUGAUAGGCCAAAUAAAACCAGAGUUAUGAUAAAUUAUGUCCGCGAUACUUUUUUUCUGCUUAUUUUGAUCACGUUCGGCGCUCGAUCGCGCUGUAUGAGACAGGAAAACAUAGCAUGCAGACAUUAGCGACAGGUCUUACAGGCGGAAAAGGCUUGCCAAAAAAAAAAAAAACACACCACAACAUCUCUCCUAUUGGUGGAAAACUUCACCACAACAACCAAUCCAAAAUUAUAUGGUGACUGAUUGACAAGGGGCGGGCGCUUACGUUCUUCCUGCAACAUGAGAAGGGAGGGAGGGACUCUCAGCAGGGAUGCAGUCUGGGACACGUAGUUGCAAACCUAGCGACUUUGUUGUUAGAUUCAAUGACUUUUCAGACCCCCUAACGACUUUGUUUUAGAAAGAAAGGGACUUUUAUCGACUUCUUCUGGAGUUUAGAGACUCUGACAUGAAGCAGGCUUUCCUUACUGAGGAGUUAGCAACGCUGCUAAGGGUGCAGAGCCACACAUGCGCUCAGAGCUCUGCAUGGGAGACUGAAGCUGACAGAGCUGCAGCAGUUAGCAGGUUUCACCCUCAGAGACCACCAGGGGUUCAUGUUGAGGCAUUUUAAUUUUUUUUUUUUUUUUGUGCCAUAGAAACUGUCAGCACAAUCUGCACUUACACUAACAAAAAUGCUGCAAAAAACAAAGAAUUAUGGAAAAAUUACACAUGGACUGACAUAGAGGAGGAUCUACACAAGUUUUUUACAUCAUGUUUUACAUCAUGCAUCAUUUACAUCAUGUUUUUUUGUAGUGGCAUAAAUAAAAAGUGACAUUUGUGAGACUAUACAGUGUUUUGUAAAUAAUUUUACAAAGAACGCCUGGGCCAUUGCCUGCAUUUUGAUGUAAAUAGAGGUAAAUCACUAUGUUCUUUGUUAAAAAUUUGCAUAUGUUUUGAAGUUUACAAUUUUUAUUUGAAGUUUAAGUUUUAAAAACAGUUCAUCACACAUAUUUGUGGUUUUCACAGUAAAAAUGUUACUUUUUUCCACUCGGAUUUUAUGUUUUGUGUGUGAAUUUGGGUCCAUUGUGUAAAUUCAGUAUGUCAACAUGAUAAAAUAACUGUAAAUUCGCACAGGUGAGGUUGUGCUGAAAAAAAUGAUACCAGGCAAGGCACGUGAUUGUCAAAUUUUGUGUCAAUAUGACAAAGCGUAUAGGCGUGAAUCUCAACAAUAUGUAUUUUCACCUUAGGGGACAAGAAAAAAUGGACUUUUUUCUCCUGCCAUGGGGGGGGGGCGCUCUUUUGGGGAGUAAAAAUUCCUUCAAAAAUGUGUUGAUGGCUGGACAUUGCAUCAUCCUAGAAAACUUGGAGGCCAGUGAGGACAAAAAUAAAAAGUUAUAAGACUUUUAAAUAUGUGGAUUUUAGGGUUGUCUUUGGCGCCCCCUAGAACCUAAACCGUGGGGUGCAGCGUCAUGAUUUGAAUAACUUUUAAUGGCCAUGGGGUGUAGAUUGGCCUGAGCAAAUGUGGUGCCGGUGGACAGAAAGCCUUCGGAGGAGUUAGCGAAAUUCCAAUGUGUGCGGAUCGGCAAAAAAUGCGGAAUAACCCUUUAACCUACAUUUGACAGAUACGCGCGCAUUGACUUUUUCGUAGAUCUUAUUGAGUUACAUGUGUGUGUCAAAUUUUGUGUCAAUAUGACAAAGCGUAUAGGCGUGAAUCUCAACAAUAUGUAUUUUCACCUUAGGGGACAAGAAAAAAUGGACUUUUUUCUCCUGCCAUGGGGGGGGCGCUCUUUUGGGGAGUAAAAAUUCCUUCACAAAUGUGUUGAUGGCUGGACAUUGCAUCAUCCUAGAAAACUUGGAGGCCAGUGAGGACAAAAAUAAAAAGUUAUAAGACUUUUAAAUAUGUGGAUUUUAGGGUUAUCUUUGGCGCCCCCUAGAACCUAAACCGUGGGGUGCAGCGUCAUGAUUUUGAUAACUUUUAAUGGCCACGGGGUGUAGAUUGGCCUGAGCAAAUGUGGUGCCGGUGGACAGAAAGCCUUAGGAGGAGUUAGCCACAUUCCAAUGUGUGCGGAUCGGCAAAAAAUGCGGAAUAACCCUUUAACCGUACAUUUGACAGAUACGCGCGCAUUGACUUUUUCGUAGAUCUUAUUGAGUUACAUGUGUGUGUCAAUUUUUGUGUCAUUUUGACAAAGCGUAUAGGCGUGACACUCAACAAUGUGUAUUUUCACCUUAGGGGACAAGAAAAAAUGGACUUUUUUCUCCUGCCAUGGGGGGGCGCUCUUUUGGGGAGUAAAAAUUCCUUCACAAAUGUGUUGAUGGCUGGACAUUGCAUCAUCCUAGAAAACUUGGAGGCCAGUGAGGACAAAAAUAAAAAGUUAUAAGACUUUUAAAUAUGUGGAUUUUAGUGUUAUCUUUGGCGCCCCCUAGAACCUAAACCUUGGGGUGCAGCGUCAUGAUUUUGAUAACUUUUAAUGGCCACGGGGUGUAGAUUGGCCUGAGCAAAUGUGGUGCCGGUGGAACGAAAGCCUGCAUGUUUUUGCAGGUGCUAAAAACCAGACUCUGAGUGUGUGUGUGUGUGUGUGUAUGUGUGUGUGCGUGUGUGUGUGUCUGUGUGUGCGUUCAAGUCACAUGACAUAUUUAACCGGAUGUAGCUGCAAGACGGAGCCUCGUUGACUCUCCGUUUCAACUUAUCUCAACCUAUAUACCAGUUUUUAAAUUGUGUUGAUAGGCCAAAUAAAACCAGAGUUAUGAUAAAUUAUGUCCGCGAUACUUUUUUUCUGCUUAUUUUGAUCACGUUCGGCGCUCGAUCGCGCUGUAUGAGACAGGAAAACAUAGCAUGCAGACAUUAGCGACAGGUCUUACAGGCGGAAAAGGCUUGCCAAAAGAAAAAAAAACACACCACAACAUCUCUCCUAUUGGUGGAAAACUUCACCACAACAACCAAUCCAAAAUUAUAUGGUGACUGAUUGACAAGGGGCGGGCGCUUACGUUCUUCCUGCAACAUGAGAAGGGAGGGAGGGACUCUCAGCAGGGAUGCAGUCUGGGACACGUAGUUGCAAACCUAGCGACUUUGUUGUUAGAUUCAAUGACUUUUCAGACCCCCUAACGACUUUGUUUUAGAAAGAAAGGGACUUUUAUCGACUUCUUCUGGAGUUUAGAGACUCUGACAUGAAGCAGGCUUUCCUUACUGAGGAGUUAGCAACGCUGCUAAGGGUGCAGAGCCACACAUGCGCUCAGAGCUCUGCAUGGGAGACUGAAGCUGACAGAGCUGCAGCAGUUAGCAGGUUUCACCCUCAGAGACCACCAGGGGUUCAUGUUGAGGCAUUUUAAUUUUUUUUUUUUUUUUGUGCCAUAGAAACUGUCAGCACAAUCUGCACUUACACUAACAAAAAUGCUGCAAAAAACAAAGAAUUAUGGAAAAAUUACACAUGGACUGACAUAGAGGAGGAUCUACACAAGUUUUUUACAUCAUGUUUUACAUCAUGCAUCAUUUACAUCAUGUUUUUUUGUAGUGGCAUAAAUAAAAAGUGACAUUUGUGAGACUAUACAGUGUUUUGUAAAUAAUUUUACAAAGAACGCCUGGGCCAUUGCCUGCAUUUUGAUGUAAAUAGAGGUAAAUCACUAUGUUCUUUGUUAAAAAUUUGCAUAUGUUUUGAAGUUUACAAUUUUUAUUUGAAGUUUAAGUUUUAAAAACAGUUCAUCACACAUAUUUGUGGUUUUCACAGUAAAAAUGUUACUUUUUUCCACUCUGAUUUUAUGUUUUGUGUGUGAAUUUGGGUCCAUUGUGUAAAUUCAGUAUGUCAACAUGAUAAAAUAACUGUAAAUUCGCACAGGUGAGGUUGUGCUGAAAAAAAAUGAUACCAGGCAAGGCACGUGAUUGUCAAAUUUUGUGUCAAUAUGACAAAGCGUAUAGGCGUGAAUCUCAACAAUAUGUAUUUUCACCUUAGGGGACAAGAAAAAAUGGACUUUUUUCUCCUGCCAUGGGGGGGGGCGCUCUUUUGGGGAGUAAAAAUUCCUUCACAAAUGUGUUGAUGGCUGGACAUUGCAUCAUCCUAGAAAACUU
rnacentral:lncRNA from 1 species